rnacentral:tRNA from 1 species
GCAAUGGUCAUUCAGUGGUAGAAUUCUCACCUUUCACGUGGGAGACCCAGUUUCGAUUUCUGGCCAGUGCA